UAUGCAAACCCGGGCCCCAACUUCUUAUGGCACAUCGAUUCCUACGACAAACUGAAACCAUAUGGAAUAUGUAUUAACGGUGCUGUUGAUGGAUUUUCACGUAUGGUCAUUUGGCUGCAUGCUUAUACCACCAAUAGCAACCCCAGAGUUAUUUCUGGUUACUUCAUUGAUGAAGUUGAAGACAGGAGCGGCGCGCCCACACGAAUCAGGGCAGACCUGGGCACUGAGAACCGCUCAGUGGAGCAGAUGCAGAUGUUUUUAAGAGGUACCCAUGACGAUGAGUUCAGUGAGAGAUGCUACAUUACCGGUUCAAGCAAUCACAACCAAAGGAUUGAACAAUGGUGGGGAUUUUUAAGGAAACACCAUGCACAAUUCUGGAUCAAUGUAUUCCAAGAUUUAAAGGACCAUGACCACUUCUCAGGGGACUUCAUCGACAAAAAUCUCAUACAAUUCACAUGCUUGGAAAUAAUUGAGAGAGAGCUGCAGGACCUUGCUAACCUGUGGAAUUGCCACAGAAUUCGCCCCAGUAGGAAUGCAGUUUCUCCAAGUGGAUGACCACUAUUGAUGUACAACCUUCCCCAUCUGUUUGGCACCACAAACUACAUCAAGGCAGUAUCCCAUCAACAGAUCCAGGCUUGUAGAGAGGAAUGCCUGCCAAGAGGUCCAUAUCCAUGUGAUGAGACUGUUUUUGACAUUUGCUGCCUUGCAAUGUCAGAAAACUAUCUGCACCCACCUACUUCUUCUGAGGAGGCAAUUGAACUCUACCUUUUCUUACGAGCCUACAUCCACACUCAGAUUUAAUAGGUGUUCCCAGACAGACAGCAGCGACCUGCAGAAAGAUAACUAGCCAACCGGUGAAUUUUAACUUUAAAAUUACCUGUAACUGACCUGAAAUAUCAUUGUCACUCUUAUUUUUGUUGUUAAUAUCUG